rnacentral:rRNA from 1 species
UACGUAGGGUGCAAGCGUUGUCCGGAAUUAUUGGGCGUAAAGAGCUCGUAGGCGGUCUGUCGCGUCUGCUGUGAAAACUCGGGGCUUAACCCCGGGCCUGCAGUGGGUACGGGCAGACUAGAGUGCGGUAGGGGAGACUGGAAUUCCUGGUGUAGCGGUGAAAUGCGCAGAUAUCAGGAGGAACACCGGUGGCGAAGGCGGGUCGCUGGGCCAUUCCUGACGCUGAGGAGCGAAAGCGUGGGGAGCAAACAGG